rnacentral:rRNA from 1 species
AGAGUUUGAUCCUGGCUCAGAUUGAACGCUGGCGGCAUGCCUUACACAUGCAAGUCGAACGGCAGCACGGGAGCUUGCUCCUGGUGGCGAGUGGCGAACGGGUGAGUAAUAUAUCGGAACGUACCCUAGAGUGGGGGAUAACGCAGCGAAAGUUGCGCUAAUACCGCAUACGAUCUACGGAUGAAAGUGGGGGAUCGCAAGACCUCAUGCUCAUGGAGCGGCCGAUAUCUGAUUAGCUAGUUGGUAGGGUAAAAGCCUACCAAGGCUUCGAUCAGUAGCUGGUCUGAGAGGACGACCAGCCACACUGGAACUGAGACACGGCCCAGACUCCUACGGGAGGCAGCAGUGGGGAAUUUUGGACAAUGGGCGCAAGCCUGAUCCAGCAAUGCCGCGUGAGUGAAGAAGGCCUUCGGGUUGUAAAGCUCUUUUGUCAGGGAAGAAACGGUGGACUCUAAUACAGAUCACUAAUGACGGUACCUGAAGAAUAAGCACCGGCUAACUACGUGCCAGCAGCCGCGGUAAUACGUAGGGUGCAAGCGUUAAUCGGAAUUACUGGGCGUAAAGCGUGCGCAGGCGGUUGUGCAAGACAGAUGUGAAAUCCCCGGGCUCAACCUGGGAAUUGCAUUUGUGACUGCACGGCUAGAGUGUGUCAGAGGGGGGUAGAAUUCCACGUGUAGCAGUGAAAUGCGUAGAGAUGUGGAGGAAUACCGAUGGCGAAGGCAGCCCCCUGGGAUAACACUGACGCUCAUGCACGAAAGCGUGGGGAGCAAACAGGAUUAGAUACCCUGGUAGUCCACGCCCUAAACGAUGUCUACUAGUUGUUGGGUCUCAAUUGACUUAGUAACGCAGCUAACGCGUGAAGUAGACCGCCUGGGGAGUACGGUCGCAAGAUUAAAACUCAAAGGAAUUGACGGGGACCCGCACAAGCGGUGGAUGAUGUGGAUUAAUUCGAUGCAACGCGAAAAACCUUACCUACCCUUGACAUGUACGGAACCCCUGAGAGAUUAGGGAGUGCUCGAAAGAGAACCGUAACACAGGUGCUGCAUGGCUGUCGUCAGCUCGUGUCGUGAGAUGUUGGGUUAAGUCCCGCAACGAGCGCAACCCUUGUCAUUAGUUGCUACGAAAGGGCACUCUAAUGAGACUGCCGGUGACAAACCGGAGGAAGGUGGGGAUGACGUCAAGUCCUCAUGGCCCUUAUGGGUAGGGCUUCACACGUCAUACAAUGGUACAUACAGAGGGCCGCCAACCCGCGAGGGGGAGCUAAUCCCAGAAAGUGUAUCGUAGUCCGGAUUGUAGUCUGCAACUCGACUACAUGAAGUUGGAAUCGCUAGUAAUCGCGGAUCAGCAUGUCGCGGUGAAUACGUUCCCGGGUCUUGUACACACCGCCCGUCACACCAUGGGAGCGGGUUUCACCAGAAGUAGGUAGCCUAACCGUAAGGAGGGCGCUUACCACGGUGGGAUUCGUGACUGGGGUGAAGUCGUAACAAGGUA